rnacentral:rRNA from 1 species
UACGUAGGGUGCGAGCGUUAAUCGGAUUUACUGGGCGUAAAGCGUGCGCAGGCGGCCCGUUAAGACAGGUGUGAAAUCCCUGGGCUCAACCUAGGAAUUGCGCUUAUGACUGGCGGGCUCGAGUACGGUAGAGGGGGGUGGAAUUCCUGGUGUAGCAGUGAAAUGCGUAGAGAUCAGGAGGAACACCGAUGGCGAAGGCAGCCCCCUGGGCCUGUACUGACGCUCAUGCACGAAAGCGUGGGGAGCAAACAGG